UAGCCGGUGAAAGUCCGGUCGCGGGAAGGGCCAAGCCCCCGCGUAGCUAGGAUACCUACGUAUGGCGAAAUCUGUACGUAGAAGCGUAUCGACGAAAGUA
rnacentral:misc_RNA from 1 species